rnacentral:rRNA from 1 species
GAUGAACGCUGGCGGCGUGCCUAAUACAUGCAAGUCGAGCGAACGGACGAGAAGCUUGCUUCUCUGAUGUUAGCGGCGGACGGGUGAGUAACACGUGGAUAACCUACCUAUAAGACUGGGAUAACUUCGGGAAACCGGAGCUAAUACCGGAUAAUAUUUUGAACCGCAUGGUUCAAAAGUGAAAGACGGUCUUGCUGUCACUUAUAGAUGGAUCCGCGCUGCAUUAGCUAGUUGGUAAGGUAACGGCUUACCAAGGCAACGAUGCAUAGCCGACCUGAGAGGGUGAUCGGCCACACUGGAACUGAGACACGGUCCAGACUCCUACGGGAGGCAGCAGUAGGGAAUCUUCCGCAAUGGGCGAAAGCCUGACGGAGCAACGCCGCGUGAGUGAUGAAGGUCUUCGGAUCGUAAAACUCUGUUAUUAGGGAAGAACAUAUGUGUAAGUAACUGUGCACAUCUUGACGGUACCUAAUCAGAAAGCCACGGCUAACUACGUGCCAGCAGCCGCGGUAAUACGUAGGUGGCAAGCGUUAUCCGGAAUUAUUGGGCGUAAAGCGCGCGUAGGCGGUUUUUUAAGUCUGAUGUGAAAGCCCACGGCUCAACCGUGGAGGGUCAUUGGAAACUGGAAAACUUGAGUGCAGAAGAGGAAAGUGGAAUUCCAUGUGUAGCGGUGAAAUGCGCAGAGAUAUGGAGGAACACCAGUGGCGAAGGCGACUUUCUGGCCUGUAACUGACGCUGAUGUGCGAAAGCGUGGGGAUCAGACAGGAUUAGAUACCCUGGUAGUCCACGCCGUAAACGAUGAGUGCUAAGUGUUAGGGGGUUUCCGCCCCUUAGUGCUGCAGCUAACGCAUUAAGCACUCCGCCUGGGGAGUACGACCGCAAGGUUGAAACUCAAAGGAAUUGACGGGGACCCGCACAAGCGGUGGAGCAUGUGGUUUAAUUCGAAGCAACGCGAAGAACCUUACCAAAUCUUGACAUCCUUUGACAACUCUAGAGAUAGAGCUUUCCCCUUCGGGGGACAAAGUGACAGGUGGUGCAUGGUUGUCGUCAGCUCGUGUCGUGAGAUGUUGGGUUAAGUCCCGCAACGAGCGCAACCCUUAAGCUUAGUUGCCAUCAUUAAGUUGGGCACUCUAAGUUGACUGCCGGUGACAAACCGGAGGAAGGUGGGGACGACGUCAAAUCAUCAUGCCCCUUAUGAUUUGGGCUACACACGUGCUACAAUGGACAAUACAAAGGGCAGCGAAACCGCGAGGUCAAGCAAAUCCCAUAAAGUUGUUCUCAGUUCGGAUUGUAGUCUGCAACUCGACUACAUGAAGCUGGAAUCGCUAGUAAUCGUAGAUCAGCAUGCUACGGUGAAUACGUUCCCGGGUCU